GAUGAACGCUGGCGGCGUGCUUAACACAUGCAAGUCGAACGGAAAGGCCUCAGCUUGCUGGGGUACUCGAGUGGCGAACGGGUGAGUAACACGUGGGUGAUCUGCCCUGCACUUUGGGAUAAGCUUGGGAAACUGGGUCUAAUACCGAAUAUGACCACUUCUUGGAUGUUGUGGUGGAAAGCUUUUGCGGUGUGGGAUGAGCCUGCGGCCUAUCAGCUUGUUGGUGGGGUAGUGGCCUACCAAGGCGGCGACGGGUAUCCGGCCUGAGAGGGUGUACAGACACAUUGGGACUGAGAUACGGCCCAGACUCCUACGGGAGGCAGCAGUGGGGAAUAUUGCACAAUGGGCGCAAGCCUGAUGCAGCGACGCCGCGUGGGGGAUGAAGGCCUUCGGGUUGUAAACUCCUUUCGCUAUCGACGAAGCCACUUGUGGUGACGGUAGGUAGAUAAGAAGCACCGGCUAACUACGUGCCAGCAGCCGCGGUAA
rnacentral:rRNA from 1 species